rnacentral:rRNA from 1 species
GAGACUCUGUGCGCGUGCAUAUCAAUAAGCGGAGGAAAAGAAACUAACAAGGAUUCCCUUAGUAACGGCGAGUGAAGCGGGAAGAGCUCAGAAUUUGAAAUCUUCAAGGUUCUACCUUGACGAAUUGUAGUUUAUAGAAGUGUUUUCUGUUAGUGGAGUGGCAAAAGUUCUUUGGAAUAGGACAUCAUAGAGGGUGAGAAUCCCGUAUUUGGUCAUUCCUCCUAGCGUUGUGAUACACUUUCAACGAGUCGGAUUGUUUGGGAAUGCAGUCCAAAAUGGGUGGUAAAUUUCAUCUAAAGCUAAAUAUUGGCGAGAGACCGAUAGCGAACAAGUACCGUGAGGGAAAGAUGAAAAGAACUUUGAAAAGAGAGUUAAACAGUACGUGAAAUUGUCAAAAGGGAAGCGUUUGACACCAGUGUUGUUUAGUUGAAAAUCAAUUCAAUAGUUUUUGAUUCUAAGUAGUAUUGACUUCAUCAGCUUGCUGCUUUCUUCUCAGAAAUUAUUGAAUGCACUUUUCAGUUAACAAGUCAACAUCAAUUUCUUUUGUUGUAAAAGGGUAAGAGGAAGGUGGCUUGCGCUUCGGCUCAAGUGUUUAUAGCCUUUUAUCUCUGCAAUCGGAGAGAUGGAGGUCUGCAGCGUAGAUCCUUCGGGGUUAGAUACAUUGGUGCUAAGCUAUAGCCUUGUAUAGACAACUUGUUGACUAUGCUCAGUCACGUAGCUUACUCGCUGAUGCUAUUUUACCUACGCUUAGGAUGUUGACAGCAGUAUAGACUGU